rnacentral:tRNA from 1 species
GCGCGAUUAACUCAGCGGGAGAGUGCCAUCCUCACACGGUGGAAGUCGCUGGUUCGAAUCCAGCAUCGCGCACCA